rnacentral:rRNA from 1 species
UGGGAAUAUACCCUUUGUACGGAAUAGCCUCUGGAAACGGAGAGUAAUACCGUAUGAGCCCUUCGGGGAAAGAUUUAUCGCCAAAGGAUUAGCCCGCGUUAGAUUAGGUAGUUGGUGGGGUAAUGGCCUACCAAGCCUACGAUCUAUAGCUGGUUUUAGAGGAUGAUCAGCAACACUGGGACUGAGACACGGCCCAGACUCCUACGGGAGGCAGCAGUGGGGAAUCUUGGACAAUGGGGGCAACCCUGAUCCAGCCAUGCCGCGUGAGUGAUGAAGGCCUUAGGGUCGUAAAGCUCUUUCGCCUGUGAAGAUAAUGACGGUAGCAGGUAAAGAAACCCCGGCUAACUCCGUGCCAGCAGCCGCGGUAAUACGGAGGGGGUUAGCGUUGUUCGGAAUUACUGGGCGUAAAGCGCACGUAGGCGGACCAGAAAGUUGGGGGUGAAAUCCCGGGGCUCAACCCCGAACUGCCUCCAAAACUAUUGGUCUAGAGUUCGAGAGAGGUGAGUGGAAUUCCAGGUGUAGAGGUGAAAUUCGUAGAUAUUUGGAGGAACACCAGUGGCGAAGGGGCUCACUGGCUCGAUACUGACGCUGAGGUGCGAAAGUGUGGGGAGCAAACAGGAUUAGAUACCCUGGUAGUCCACACCGCAAACGAUGAAUGCCAGUCGUCGGGUAGCAUGCUAUUCGGUGACACACCUAACGGAUUAAGCAUUCCGCCUGGGGAGUACGGUCGCAAGAUUAAACUCAAAGGAAUUGACGGGGGCCCGCACAAGCGUGGAGCAUGUGGUUUAAUUCGAAGCAACGCGCAGAACCUUACCAACCCUUGACAUCCCGGGACCGUCCAGAGAUGGAUCUUUCACUUCGGUGACUCGGUGACAGGU